GAUGAACGCUAGCGGCAGGCUUAAUACAUGCAAGUCGAGGGGCAGCGCAGUGUAGCAAUACAUGGGCGGCGACCGGCAAACGGGUGCGGAACACGUACGCAACCUUCCUUUAAGUGGGGGAUAGCCCAGGGAAACUUGGAUUAAUACCCCGUAAUAUUAUGAAGUGGCAUCACUUUAUACUUAUAGCUCCGGCGCUUAAAGAUGGGCGUGCGACUGAUUAGGUAGUUGGCGGGGUAACGGCCCACCAAGCCUGCGAUCAGUAACUGGUGUGAGAGCACGACCAGUCACACGGGCACUGAGACACGGGCCCGACUCCUACGGGAGGCAGCAGUAAGGAAUAUUGGUCAAUGGACGCAAGUCUGAACCAGCCAUGCCGCGUGGAGGAUGAAGGUCCUCUGGAUUGUAAACUUCUUUUAUUUGGGAAGAAACCCACUGUUUCUACGGUGGUUGACGGUACCAGAUGAAUAAGCACCGGCUAACUCCGUGCCCGCCGCCGUAAAAC
rnacentral:rRNA from 1 species